GGAGAUCCUGAUCCGGGGCCUGGGAUUCUGAGUUUUGAGCAACAUCCUGCGUGAUUGGAUGCACGUCAGGGUUUGAGAACCCCUCUGGUCAGUGUAGGGAUCAUGCCCAACCUAAGGUUUUAGCCACAGAGGGGGCCAGAGUCUUUCUCAGGCAAUGAAAGUAGAGUUUGUGUCUAGAUCUUCUUUGGAGAAUCAUUCCUUUCCUGCCCCUUACCCAGCCUUGCACACACCAUGUUUUUAAAAAUCCAACCAAAGGCACUAUGGUUAGAUGUGUGAGCUUUAUUAGUGUGAUGGUUUAACCAGUGUGGAAACCCCUCAGCUAACUUGGAAACAGCCGGAUACUGUGCAUGCUGAAAUGUUACUUCACAUUCCGGCUCUUGAAGACAAAUUUUGAUAGUAGCAGAAAAUGUUCAAGACGGUAGUUACUCACUGGCUUAGUUUGCGGUAAUUUAUGGUAAAGGCUUCCCCCACGUGUGUGUGUGUGUGUGUGUGUGUGUGUACAUGUGUACUCACACUUACUUGGAGGUGAAGGAGGAACCACAGCCCUUUUAUUUGGGUGGAAGGGAAUCUUUUGAUUUGACCCACUGGGCCAGAAAAUCCCUUUUCAAAUACUGUCUUGUAGCAGCUUUGCUCCUGAGGCCCCUGAGGGCUGGACAAAAGGGGGUGUGGAGUCCGACUGGCUGCCCUAUUGGCCCUGACCCCAGGCACGUGUGACUCUGCCUUUGUCUGAGGUCUUUUUUUCUCCCAGGAUUUGUACCCUAUGCUAACUAAGUUCCUGUAGCUCAGCCACCAGGAAUGAGGUUGUGGGUUGGCCAGGAUUAUUCUGAUUUAAACUGAUCAUCUUCAUGUAUUUGUGUGUGUGUCCCCUCAAGAGAACUCUGACAGGUCACACCUCCUUUACAUUAUAAAGCUAACAUCUAAAAUAAUUCUAUGGUAACUUAAGAUUUUUCUUCUUUUGAGACAAAAUAGCACAUAUUUUGUAAGAUUCAGUAAGACGACGAUUGUAAUCGAAAGAAAUAUUCUAUAAUAUGAUUAGGUAAAAUAGGUUUUCACAACCUUAUUAAAUCACACAGAAUCUGAAAGAAAUCAAAUUUUCCCCUGGGAGUUGUUUCGGACGGAUUUCGAAAAGUUUGGUGGUCCUGCAACACAUUCCAUUUAAAUGAGUCACAGCCACUAACCUAUAUUGCUUUGACUGGUCUGAAUUUAGGAGAUCCCAGUAUGGGCCAAAAUAUCCUGUUUUUAGAGCCAGAUUCACAUUUAACAGAACUAUGUAUAAGUCAGGGAAAGACAGGCAAGCCUAGGAGCUUAAGGAGCUUUAUUAUUCAUUAAAGGCUACUUCCCUGAAACCAGUAUUUUCAUGCUUUCUGUUGUUUGGAGUCCUAGAGCUCUAUACACCCGCCUGGGCAGAGGCGGGCAGUUGUGCAUUGAGGGAUGGACAGCUGAGAAGGCUGGCUGUUUUCAGAGUCAGAUCUGUUUCAGGAAAGGAAACCCGUGGCAGUUCAGGAUCUGAGCAUUGCUUCCCGUGGAGACAUCUCUGCUCUGGGAUUCAUUGAGAGUCUUCAUAAACCCCUGGGGAUAAGCGCUUCAAGCCUGAAAGAAUAUGGCUGUUUCUUGCGUCACAGCACAGGAAGCCCAGAGGUAGCUAGGUUACAGAGAUGGUUGACUGGUUCACCACCACCACCACCGUCAUCAUCGCAGAUCUAGUUUAUCUCAUCUCCUGGCUCUGUAGACUUCCUCUUCCAGUUGUGCAGCCCCAGCCUGGUCCAGGGAGUACUUCUGCAACCUCAGCCGUCCUGGCUGGAGAGGACAGUGUGAAGGAUGAGGCAGCCGGCACCCGUCUCCAGAAGCCUCAGCUGGUCUUCUUGCAUCUCAUUGGCCCAUCUGGCCUAGGCCAGCCCACCUUGUAGCGAUAAGUAACAAACUACCACAUUAGUAUGUAAAAGUUCAAAAACAUUACUUCUGAGAGCUAAACAUUUAAUAUGGUGGCUAAAAACCAGCUCCCUUCCCACAGUGAUUCCCCUCCAGUCAGCAACAUCCAACCUCACGUCACCUGUGUUGGCCUUGGCCAGCCAUUUCACGUCCACACAUGGUUCUGACCUUCUGAUUGAAUUUCAAAAUAUAACCUUGAGAUUUUUGUGCUCAUCAUUUUGUUAAAAAUGUUGUAAUGAGUUUUGAGAGCAUACAUUUCCCCACGUAAAAAUUAGGUGAAGACACAUCGAGAACUAUAUACACUCCAAGAAGUUCCGGUAUUAAAAACCAAAGUGGUGGAGUUCCCGUCGUGGCGCAGUGGUUAACGAAUCCGACUAGGAACCAUGAGGUUGCGGGUUCGAUCCCUGGCCUUGCUCAGUGGGUUAAGGAUCUGGCGUUGCCGUGAGCUGGGGUGUGGGUCGCAGAUGCGGCUUGGAUCCUGCGUUGCUGUGGCUGUGGUGUAGGCUGGCGGCUGCAGCUCCAAUUAGACCCCUAGCCUGGGAACCUCCAUAUACCUGGGGAAAUGGCCCUAGGAAAGGCAAAAAAACAAAAAA
rnacentral:lncRNA from 1 species